rnacentral:rRNA from 1 species
CAGCAGCCACGGUAAUACGAAGGGUGCAAGCGUUACUCGGAAUUACUGGGCGUAAAGCGUGCGUAGGUGGUUGUUUAAGUCUGCUGUGAAAGCCCUGGGCUCAACCUGGGAAUUGCAGUGGAUACUGGGCAACUAGAGUAAGGUAGAGGAUAGUGGAAUUUCCGGUGUAGCAGUGAAAUGCGUAGAGAUCGGAAGGAACAUCUGUGGCGAAGGCGACUAUCUGGGCCAACACUGACACUGAGGCACGAAAGCGUGGGGAGCAAACAGGAUUAGAUACCCCUGUAGUCCCUGUCUCUUAUAC